UAUUUACCAGUCAUUUGGAAUUUGGACAUUUUCUGUCCUGUGGUUGUGGUGAGGGUGUGGGUUUUGUGUGGUUUUAUAUAUUCUUUGUUAUUUUUUAUUCUAGUUUUUGUUUUUGUUUUGGAAGGUAUUUUAGAGAAAUAAGAUUUCUGUGGCUACCAUGACCUGCUGUUACAGAUUACAUGGUACCCCCUCUUCAUAUGUUGAAGUCCUAGCCACCCCGCCGAACCUCAGAAUGUGACUGUAUUUGGAGAUAGGGUCUUUACAGAGGAAAUCAAGUUAAAAUGAGGUCAUUAGGGCAGGCCCUAAUCCGAUAUGAUCCUGUGUUCUUAGAAGAGGAAAUGUGGACUCAGGUGUGUAUGGAGGGAAGAUGGCUUGCAAGCCCAGGGAGAAGAUGGCCAUCUGAGCCCACGUCCUGGAACAGAGACUUCCCUCACAGCCUCAGAAAGAACCAGCCCUGCUGACGUCUUGAUCUCAGACCUCCAGCCUCCAGAACUGGGAGACGAUUCAGUCAGCUCCUACACAACACAGGGUUGAACUGUUCUCCCUCUGUCACCCAGAGCUGGAGUGCGGUGGCAUAAUCACAGCUAAUUGCAGCCUCAACAUUCCAGGCCCAAGGAUCCUCCCUUCAGCCUUCCAGAGUCGGGGUCUCCCUAUGUUUCCCAGGCUGGCCUCGAACUCCUGACCUCAAGUGAUCCUCCCACCUCAGCCUCCCAGAGUGCUGGGAUUAAAGACGUGAGCCACGGCACCUGGCCUGAAUUUUCCUCAAAUUCAAAAAAUGCUGAUGAAGGUUUGGCUAAAAUCUUUGGUGAGUUACCCCACUCCCUGUGGAACCUCAGGCUGGAUUUGAAGAGUUGCGUGCAUGGUCCUCAUUGUCUCCCAGGUAACCUGUUCCCGCUGCUGUGAAGGGAAGGCAGGUGCUCUUCCUUGAGGCUAGAAUCUGUCUACGUGUCACAGUCUCAGGAAAUUAAGCAAAACAGAUGAUAAACACCUCAAAAGGACCCUACUGAGCAUGAGUGGAGCAGACCAGGGCCAUAU
rnacentral:sRNA from 1 species